CACCGAUUGAACACGUAUCACAUGACAAUCUCGAGUGGCGGGAGAUGCCUCCGUGGACGCUUAUUAACAUAUAUGAGUGCGUGCAAAACAAAAACUAGUGGUUUAUUACAAAAUGUAAAUUAGAUAUGAAUGCAGAGUGACGGAUGUCUAUUGGCCAGACCAGACUCCGCGAUCGACCCUACAACCAUACUCGGUGGCAUAUUGUUUAUUUUGCAUGUAUGUAUAUGUGUUCAACUGCUUGGCAUUUCAAUACGGACUAAGCGAGAAUCCUGUGGCUUUCGUUGGU
rnacentral:lncRNA from 1 species